AUAAUAGGUCGAUCUUCCCUAACAGCUCAUAUGAAUGGGAUGAAUAGGCAGCUUGAUGCUGAUAAUUUGCCUCCUGCAACUGUGUGUGUCCCAAGCGUUGGAUUGUUCGGCCAUUUAAGCAGUAAGUGAGCCAAGUUCAGAACAUCGCGAGACAGCUC
rnacentral:ncRNA from 1 species